AUGGACGCCGAAUUGAGACAAGUCGCUAAUGGUUUUGACUAUAAGGUCCAUUCAUUUGACAAAUACGACAUCAACGGGUAUCGCUUUCGUACCUAUGGCAAAGAGCUACCUAUGGCCGACCGAAAGUCUACAAAUUGUUGUGUCUCUGCUAUCGGCGAAGGAGAUACCGAGUAUUAUGGAAGAGUUGAAGCAAUUUAUGGACUUCUAUUCUAUGGUGCAAACCCACCGAACGUCGUAGUCUUCAAAUGUCAUUGGUUCCAGCCGAAAGAGACUAGAAGGACUCAUGAACAUCUAGGGCUAGUCGAAAUCAAACAAAGCACCCAUUUGGAUGUUCCCGAUGUCUAUAUUACGGCUCAACAGGCAACCCAAGUUUUCUAUCUACCGUGGGCCUGCCAAAGUGAUCCAAAUCUCGAAGGUUGGGAUGUCGUUUAUGAAGUGCCGCCACGUGUUAGACCACCUCCCCCCAAUGAAGAGGAUUAUGAACCUCACGUUAAUCCAGACACAUAUGAAGGAGAAUUGUUCCAAGAAACACGUCUUUCCAAAAAACAUUUCAAGAACCGCUCACUUCAUAACAUUCAAGUAGACAGCGGCAGUGAAUCCGAGCCUGAGUAG
rnacentral:rRNA from 1 species